GACGAACGCUGGCGGCGUGCUUAACACAUGCAAGUCGAACGGAAAGGCCCUGCUUUUGUGGGGUGCUCGAGUGGCGAACGGGUGAGUAACACGUGAGUAACCUGCCCUUGACUUUGGGAUAACUUCAGGAAACUGGGGCUAAUACCGGAUAGGAGCUCCUGCUGCAUGGUGGGGGUUGGAAAGUUUCGGCGGUUGGGGAUGGACUCGCGGCUUAUCAGCUUGUUGGUGGGGUAGUGGCUUACCAAGGCUUUGACGGGUAGCCGGCCUGAGAGGGUGACCGGCCACAUUGGGACUGAGAUACGGCCCAGACUCCUACGUGAGGCAGCAGUGGGGAAUAUUGCACAAUGGGCGGAAGCCUGAUGCAGCAACGCCGCGUUCGUGAUGACGGCCUUCGGGUUGUAAACCGCUUUCGCCUGUGACGAAGCGUGAGUGACGGUAAUGGGUAAAGAAGCACCGGCUAACUACGUG
rnacentral:rRNA from 1 species